rnacentral:rRNA from 1 species
UGGCUCAGAACGAACGCUGGCGGCGUGCCUAACACAUGCAAGUCGAACGAGAAAGUGGAGCAAUCCAUGAGUACAGUGGCGACCGGGUGAGUAACACGUGACCAACCUGCCCUCGAGUGGGGAAUAACUCCGGGAAACCGGAGCUAAUACCGCAUAACAUCGCAAGAUCAAAGCCGCAAGGCGCUUGAGGAGGGGGUCGCGGCUGAUUAGCUAGUUGGUAGGGUAAUGGCCUACCAAGGCGAGGAUCGGUAGCCGGCCUGAGAGGGCGCACGGCCACACUGGAACUGAUUACACGGUCCAGAGACCUACGGGAGGCAGCA